AUAAUGAUAUAAAUAAUAAAAUAUGAGAAAGAGAGUUUCUCUCUCUUCCCUCUCUCCCUUCAGCUUGAAUUAGUAUUUUCUCUCUCUAAAAUUGGACUUUCUCUCUCUACUUUCUCUCUCUAAAAUUCUUUCUCUAGAUUAUUUCUCACUCUUAAGAUUUUUAGAAUUUUGAGAAGAAUGAUGAUGAAUUUAAAUGAUCCUCGUGAUGGAUUUUUGAUCCGUGAUCGUCGGACGGUACACUGACAUCCACUUUGAUC
rnacentral:lncRNA from 1 species